rnacentral:tRNA from 1 species
GCUGAGGUAGCCAAGUGGACUACGGCGCCGGUCUUGAGAACCGGUAGCGCUUCGCGCUGCGGGAGUUCGAAUCUCCCCCUCAGCGCC